AGUGAACGCUGCCGGCGUGCUUAAUACAUGCAAGUCGAACGAGAAACGGAUUUAGCUUGCUAAAUUGCAGUCUAAGUGGCGCCCGGGUGAGUAAUGUAUAGGUAAUAUGACUCUUACUAAGGAAUAACAAUUGGAAACGAUUGAUAAUACCUUAUAUGCCAUUAAUACGAAAGUAUUCAAGGGAAAGAUUUAUUUGCAAGAGAUUAGCCUGUAUGGUAUCAGCUUCUUGGUGAGGUAAUGGCUCAACAAGGGUAUGACGUCUAAAUGGUUUGAGAGGAUGAUCAGUCAAACUGGAAGUGAGACACGGUCCAGACUGCUACGGGAGGGAGCAGUGGGGAAUAUUGCACAAUGGAAGACAGCGUGAUGCAGCAACGCCGUGUGGAGAAUGACACUUUUCGGUGUGUAAACUCUUUUUAUAUAGGAAGAUAAUGACGGUACUAUAUGAAUAAGCACCGGCUAACUCCGUGCCAGCCGCCGCAGUAA
rnacentral:rRNA from 1 species